UGCCCUGCCAAACCUGAGGAAGAAGGGAUGAUGAUAAAUAUUUCCAUUGGGUAUUGUUAUCCUCCUAUUUGCCUAGUGAGAGCACCAGGAUGUUUAAUGCCUGCAGUCCAAAAUUGGUUGGUAGAAGUACCUACUGUCAGUCCCAUCAGUAGAUUCACUUAUCACAUGGUAAGCGGGAUGUCACUCAGGCCACGGGUAAAUUAUUUACAAGACUUUUCUUAUCAAAGAUCAUUAAAAUUUAGACCUAAAGGGAAACCUUGCCCCAAGGAAAUUCCCAAAGAAUCAAAAAAUACAGAAGUUUUAGUUUGGGAAGAAUGUGUGGCCAAUAGUGCGGUGAUAUUACAAAACAA
rnacentral:lncRNA from 10 species